AACAUCACCAUAGGACAACUAAGAGUUCUGAAGUAACUAUAAUCGAUAAACUUAGAAGGGGAAAAAAAAGUAGUAGUAAAUUAAUUGAUCGCGCAUUUACGCUUGCGCAAAGAGUUGCGCUAGCCAGUACAACGACAAAUGUAAAACGAAAAUAUAACGUUGUUCUGUGAACGUGAAAUACACUCGAAGGGUUUUGUGUGCUUUUGUCAAAGUGUCAAGAGUAACUUCAAUUAAACGGAUAUUGUUUAGGAUUAAACUUGGCAUCGUUUCUUGAAAAAUAUUAAAAUAAUCAGUGGCACUUCUCGUUAUCUACAAUCACAAAAAAAUUACAUUAUCAUUUGAAUGAUAAGAGUAAAAUGCAAGCCGAUCGUAAUGCUUACGACAUUGAAAUCGCCGAGGAAAGUAUUCAUCGUGUUACCAGCUACGAGCAAAGGAUCAGUGUCGGAAAAAUCUGAAAGCAUACAGUUUGACGAUGUCAUCCAAUCUGUUGAGGAGCCUGUUCGAAACAUCUUCUCUGACCAUCGACGAGAUAUUCAAGCCAUGAGUUCCGUUUCAAGUUGACCGCAAGCAUGCAUUGCGAUAAGUGCGGCAAGACCGCAGGUGCCACAGAUCUUGACCUUCUUUCGCAUGUCUUGUGACGUGAAAAGCACGAAUAGUAAGUUGGUGAUUCAAGCAAAACUAAUGGGAACGGUUUAAGCGCAACAGGGAGGGUGCAGCCCUCCUUUUGUCUCUUAGGGUGACAAAGAGUACGUAUUUACGUUUGCCAGUUACAAGGCGUUAUUGGACUGGACGAUCGAAGACCAGUAGAAUACAAUGAUUGGAUAAGGAUGGGACAUUAUGGAGGAAUACAAUGUCGAAGAUGAUCAUCAUGGAUGCGGACAUCGAGUCACGCAAACUUUUAAAAGUAUAUAAAGAAGGAAUGCAAAGUCAUGUAAAAAUGAUGUAAAACGUUAAAAGGUAAUACUUACUUCUUGGAUCGGAUUUGAUGUCUAAUUACCUCAGCGAUACGCGUAUCCGGAUCAGUAUCAUCGACGUCGUCUUUCCCGUCGACAAUGUCUCUCAUCAUUCUCAUAAGAAUUUCGAGUUGGCCACACGCGUGCAUGAUCAGAAAGGUCGCUAAACCACAAACGCCACAAGCUACCGAGUAGACGGCGAAGCCAGCAAGAAAUUGUCCAAAAAAGACGAGCUCGUAAGCUGGCGAUUUUUGCUCAUCGAAUAUUACGAAGUAACUCGGACAAGCAAGGGGUCAUAUUGUGAGAUUACCGAUGCGUUUAUCGAACACGAGCAGAGAGGACCAAAGAUCUUCAGCCGUAUGCGUGUAUUUUGUUCUAUGAAGAAAAUUCGAAGCAGCCCUGGUACGAGUAGAAAGAUACAAUUUUAUCACGAUUGGACCGUUCUUAUCUGGCUCUAGAGUGUUACUGACCAAGCAGUCUGUAGAAUCUAGAUGGGACAGAGGCUUUGCGCGCAGAAGCGCAUCGCAGAGGGAGAACUUAUUUCGAUUGCAAAGUAGACUGCGAACGUAAUGGCUUUCGUAAUUCUUUACUUAUAGUGAUCACUACUAUUUUCUUAUUCUUCGAGCUCUUUCAUAGCAUUCAAAGUAUGUUAAUAAAACAAAGAUGAUCGCAAUAAUUAUCAAUAAAAGAAAAAAAAAAUAGAGAGAUUUAAGGACUCUAAAGGCAAUGCCUACGAUCAAUCAUCGUACUUACAUUGUUGAAAUUACUGAGAGACAUAUCCAUUAAUUUACCGGCUACGAUUUUCACUGGAUAAUUAGACAUAAGUAUGACUGGAAUCAAAGAUUUUGUAUCCUUUGUAGGAAGACAAUACCAAUUUAAGGAAGGAACCUAAUAAAUUACCUUCUUGUUCUGAUUUGAUGAUGGAUAACUUCGGCAAUGCGUUUAUUUGGAUUCUUCUCGUCGGUAUAAUUACCAUCGACGAUGUCGUUCAUUUUUCUCAUCAAUAUCCGAAGUUGGCCGCAAACGUGCAUAAUCAAGAAAGCUGCCAAUCCACAAACUCCGCUGCCCACGGUAUAAACGGUAAAGCCACCAAGAAAUUGGCCAAAAAAUACGAGUUCAUAAGCAGGCGUCUUUUGCUCAUCGAAUAUUACAAAAUAACUUGGACAAGCGAGGGGUCUUAUCGUGUGAUUGCCGACGACAACGGAGCCCUUGGAGAGCGGCAGAAAGAUUCUUGUUGAGAUAUACUUACUGUACCAAAACUAUUGAGAGAAAGAUCUAAAAACUUCCCAGCUGUAAUUUUCACCGGUCGAUUCGACAUGGCCAUUACCAAAAUUAAACACCGUGCUGUUCUUCCUGGUAAGCGGAACCAUUCGAGCGUGCAGGACGUGUUUGCGACUUUCGUAGCCUACAUAUGUAUUAUCUAAGUCGCCGCAUGUUGAUCCUUACCUGUUAACCGUUAUAUGAUGUCUCACCAAUGUGGCUAAUUUUUCCUCGAGCGCGACGGUAUUCGCAUUAGGAUCCUCAACGAGCUCCUCCAAUCUUCUUAUAAGGAUUUCGAGUUGUCCGCAAGCAUGAAGAACGUAUAGAGCAGCCAAACUACAUGCACCGCUAGUUAUAGAAAUAAAACAGUACAGCUGACGGUUGAAUGCAAGCAGAAAGAAAAAAGUUACCCCUUACGAUUGAAAUAAUAAAUACUCGUGUAGAAAGGACAUUGAGUUCCAAUCAACUUCUGAAGAAGAAAGUCUCUAUCGUCCCUACGUAUCAUCGAUUCCAACGACGAACGGUGAUCUUCAUUGGACGAUUAGAUAUUGCGAUUACCAAAACGAGACCCGAUAGUUCCUUCGACGGAAGAUUAUACCAAUCGAGAGUGCACGAUGUUCUCGCCACUUUUUCCGCCUGCUUUCAUCAAUGAAU